rnacentral:lncRNA from 1 species
GGGUGGUGGGAAGCUCCCAAUCGCUGGAAGUCAGACGUUCAGCUCAGCUCUGCUCAUUUAAAGCAGUGGUCACCCCUCUUCUGCUUCCUAGACUUAGGGGUGCCAUCAGGCCCUUCUGGAGCCAGCUUCCUACUUGGAGGACACAGAAAAGACCACCGUGCUUCUGCAAUGUGGAUUCCCAGCACCACUUCAAGGUUCCAAAUCCCCGCUGGACCACUAACUGAUCCUGGUAUAACGUAAAGAGAAGUAGAUGGCAAGGGGAGGAAGCCACAGAAACAUGAUUGAUAUUGGGCAUCUCAUUGUUCUUGAAAAGGUGAGCUCCAAAUCAGAUUUGACUUGAUGAAGAAAAAAAAGUGAAUAUGAUCUUUUCUGCACCUUGAUUAUGGUGGAAACAUUCAUUCAUGCCUUUUAUGUGGUGGUUUUUAAUUAGCUAUUUUGAUGGAGUUGGAAAAAAAAAAGAUUAACAUAUGUCUCCAGUCUCCUUCUCUCCUCCCAUUCAGAAAAAGAGUCUAGUGUUUGCUAGUUCUUUCCCCCUUCCUCUCUCUCCAUUUAUCGC